GUGACGGUAGCUCAGCUGGUAGAGCCCCAGGUUGUGAUCCUGGUCGUCGCGAGUUCAAUCCUCGUCCGUCACCCCU
rnacentral:tRNA from 1 species